rnacentral:rRNA from 1 species
AGAGUUUGAUCCUGGCUCAGGAUGAACGCUGGCGGCGUGCUUAACACAUGCAAGUCGAACGAACCUUCGGGUUAGUGGCGGACGGGUGAGUAACGCGUGGGAAUCUGCCCUCAGGAGGGGGAUAACGGCUGGAAACGGCCGCUAAUACCCCAUAUGCCGAGAGGUGAAAUGAAUUUCGCCUGAGGAUGAGCCCGCGUCUGAUUAGCUAGUUGGUGAGGUAAGAGCUCACCAAGGCAUCGAUCAGUAGCUGGUCUGAGAGGAUGAUCAGCCACACUGGGACUGAGACACGGCCCAGACUCCUACGGGAGGCAGCAGUGGGGAAUUUUCCGCAAUGGGCGAAAGCCUGACGGAGCAACGCCGCGUGAGGGAUGAAGGCCUCUGGGCUGUAAACCUCUUUUCUCAAGGAAGAAGAUCUGACGGUACUUGAGGAAUAAGCCACGGCUAAUUCCGUGCCAGCAGCCGCGGUAAUACGGGAGUGGCAAGCGUUAUCCGGAAUUAUUGGGCGUAAAGCGUCCGCAGGCGGCCCUUCAAGUCUGCUGUUAAAACGUGGAGCUUAACUCCAUCAUGGCAGUGGAAACUGUUGGGCUUGAGUGUGGUAGGGGCAGAGGGAAUUCCCGGUGUAGCGGUGAAAUGCGUAGAUAUCGGGAAGAACACCAGUGGCGAAGGCGCUCUGCUGGGCCAUAACUGACGCUCAUGGACGAAAGCCAGGGGAGCGAAAGGGAUUAGAUACCCCUGUAGUCCUGGCCGUAAACGAUGAACACUAGGUGUCGGGGGAAUCGACCCCCUCGGUGUCGUAGCCAACGCGUUAAGUGUUCCGCCUGGGGAGUACGCACGCAAGUGUGAAACUCAAAGGAAUUGACGGGGGCCCGCACAAGCGGUGGAGUAUGUGGUUUAAUUCGAUGCAACGCGAAGAACCUUACCAGGGUUUGACAUCCUGCGAAUCUCUUGGAAACGAGAGAGUGCCUUCGGGAACGCAGUGACAGGUGGUGCAUGGCUGUCGUCAGCUCGUGUCGUGAGAUGUUGGGUUAAGUCCCGCAACGAGCGCAACCCACGUCUUUAGUUGCCAGCAUUUAGUUGGGCACUCUAGAGAGACCGCCGGUGAUAAACCGGAGGAAGGUGUGGAUGACGUCAAGUCAUCAUGCCCCUUACAUCCUGGGCUACACACGUACUACAAUGCUACGGACAAAGAGCAGCAAGUUCGCGAGGACAAGCAAAUCUCAUAAACCGUGGCUCAGUUCAGAUCGUAGGCUGCAACUCGCCUACGUGAAGGAGGAAUCGCUAGUAAUCGCAGGUCAGCAUACUGCGGUGAAUACGUUCCCGGGCCUUGUACACACCGCCCGUCACACCAUGGAAGUUGGCCACGCCCGAAGCCGUUACUCCAACCCUUGUGGAGGAGGACGUCGAAGGUGGGGCUGAUGACUGGGGUGAAGUCGUAACAAGGUAGCCGUACCGGAAGGUGCGGCUGGAUCACCUCCUAA